CCUACGGGUGGCAGCAGUGGGGAAUAUUGCGCAAUGCUCGUAAGACUGACGCAGCGACGCCGCGUGAAUGACGAAGGCCUUCGGAUCGUAAAGCUCUUUCAGCAGGGAAGAAAAUGCCUAGAAGUAACUGUCUAUGUAUUGACGGUACCUGCAAAGGCAGCCCCGGCUAACUCCGUGCCAGCAGCCGCGGUAAUACGGAGGGGGCGAGCGUUGAUCGGAGUUACUGGGCGUAAAGCGCACGUAGGCGGUGUGGUAAGUCAAGAGUCAAAGACCAGCGCUCAACGUUAGGAAGGCUAGUGAUACUAUAAUACUGGAGUAUGAGAGAGGAUUGCAGAAUUCCCGGUGUAGCGGUGAAAUGCGUAGAUAUCAGGAGGAAUAUCGUUAGCGAAGGCGGCAAUCUGGCUCGAAACUGACGCUGAGGUGCGAAAGCGUGGGUAGCAAACAGGAUUAGAUACCCUUGUAGUC
rnacentral:rRNA from 1 species